rnacentral:rRNA from 1 species
AUUGAACGCUGGCGGCAGGCCUAACACAUGCAAGUCGAACGAGUGGCGGACGGGUGAGUAAUGUCUGGGAAACUGGCUGAUGGAGGGGGAUAACUACUGGAAACUGUAGCUAAUACCGCAUACCAUCGGAUGUGCCCAGGGGGGAUUAGCUAGUAGGUGGGGUAACGGCUCACCAAGGCGACGAUCCCUAGCUGGUCUGAGAGGAUGACCAGCCACACUGGAACUGAGACACGGCCCAGACUCCUACGGGAGGCAGCAGUGGGGAAUAUUGCACAAUGGGCGCAAGCCUGACGCAGCCAUGCCGCGUGUAUGAAGAAGGCCUUCGGGUUGUAAAGUACUUUCAGCGGCGAGGCGUUACCCGCAGAAGAAGCACCGGCUAACUCCGUGCCAGCAGCCGCGGUAAUAC